GAUGAACGCUAGCGGCAGGCCUAAUACAUGCAAGUCGAGGGGUAACAGGGAAGCUUGCUUCCGCUGACGACCGGCGUACGGGUGAGUAACGCGUAUGCAACCUACCCACUACUGGGGGAUAGCCUGUGGAAACACAGAUUAAUACCCCAUAAUACAUUUGAUCCGCAUGGGUUAAUUGUUAAAGAUUUAUCGGUAGUGGAUGGGCAUGCGUCUGAUUAGCUUGUUGGUGAGGUAAUGGCUCACCAAGGCAAUGAUCAGUAGGGGGCCUGAGAGGGUGAUCCCCCACACUGGCACUGAGACACGGGCCAG
rnacentral:rRNA from 1 species